rnacentral:rRNA from 1 species
CACGUAGGGCGCAAGCGUUGUCCGGAAUUAUUGGGCGUAAAGAGCUCGUAGGCGGUCUGUUGCGUCCGCUGUGAAAACUCGGGGCUUAACCCCGAGCCUGCAGUGGGUACGGGCAGACUAGAGUGCGGUAGGGGAGAUUGGAAUUCCUGGUGUAGCGGUGGAAUGCGCAGAUAUCAGGAGGAACACCGAUGGCGAAGGCAGAUCUCUGGGCCGUAACUGACGCUGAGGAGCGAAAGCAUGGGGAGCGAACGGG